GAUGAACGCUGGCGGCGUGCCUAACGCAUGCAAGUCGAGCGAUUCUCUUCGGAGAAGAGCGGCGGACGGGUGAGUAACGCGUGGGUAACCUGCCCUGUACACACGGAUAACAUACCGAAAGGUAUGCUAAUACGAGAUAAUAUGCUUUUAUCGCAUGGUAGAAGUAUCAAAGCUCCGGCGGUACAGGAUAGACCCGCGUCUGAUUAGCUAGUUGGUAAGGUAACGGCUUACCAAGGCGACGAUCAGUAGCCGACCUGAGAGGGUGAUCGGCACAUUGGAACUGAGACACGGUCCAAACUCCUACGGGAGGCAGCAGUGGGGAAUAUUGCACAAUGGGCGAAAGCCUGAUGCAGCAACGCCGCGUGAGCGAUGAAGGCCUUCGGGUCGUAAAGCUCUGUCCUCAAGGAAGAUAAUGACGGUACUUGAGGAGGAAGCCCCGGCUAACUACGUGCCAGCAGCCGCGGUAACAC
rnacentral:rRNA from 1 species